rnacentral:rRNA from 1 species
GACGAACGCUGGCGGCGUGCUUAACACAUGCAAGUCGAGCGAUGAAGUUCCUUCGGGAAUGGAUUAGCGGCGGACGGGUGAGUAACACGUGGGUAACCUGCCUCAUAGAGGGGAAUAGCCUUUCGAAAGGAAGAUUAAUACCGCAUAAGAUUGUAGUGCUGCAUGGUAGAGCAAUUAAAGGAGUAAUCCGCUAUGAGAUGGACCCGCGUCGCAUUAGCUAGUUGGUGAGGUAAGGGCUCACCAAGGCGACGAUGCGUAGCCGACCUGAGAGGGUGAUCGGCCACAUUGGGACUGAGACACGGCCCAGACUCCUACGGGAGGCAGCAGUGGGGAAUAUUGCACAAUGGGGGAAACCCUGAUGCAGCAACGCCGCGUGAGUGAUGACGGUCUUCGGAUUGUAAAACUCUGUCUUCAGGGACGAUAAUGACGGUACCUGAGGAGGAAGCCACGGCUAACUACGUGCCAGCCGCCGCCGUAA